UAUCUCCUAUUCCACAUGCUUCUAGAAUC
rnacentral:piRNA from 1 species